UCCAGCUCUCACUUCCAUAUAUCACUACUGGUGAUGUCUCUGCUUUUUAAGAUGCUGUCUAGGUUUGCCAUCGCCUUUCUCCCAAGGAGCAGGCGUCUUUUAAUUUCGUGACUGCUGUCACCAUCUGCAGUGAUCAUGGAGCCCAAGAAAGUAAAAUCUCUCACUGCCUCCAUUUCUUCCCCUUCUUUCUAUUUGCCAGGAGGUGAUGGGCCCAGUGGCCAUGAUCUUCGUUUUUCACUGCCAUUAAGUAGGUUCAAUGAUAAGCCCUCACCAGUGGUUGAUUAUAUGUGAGUGGAGUUUUCCUCCACUUGUGUUUGAGGCGUGUCCCAGCUUGUUUCCUUGUCCUAAAGUUCUGGAGUAAACCAAUAGGGGUGGGCAUUGAUCUUUCAAUCUGUAGUGGCAUCCAGUGUGAGACCAAAAUCUGGCGCGCACAUCUAUUCACUACUAUGUCAUAGUUGUGAUGCCCAGCAGUGCCCCUGCACUCAGUGCCCAGAGCAGAGGGACCAGUUGUGCUGCCUUAAACCCAUCUCUGAUACCAAGGAGCCAAGCAGGCUCCACAAAAUAGGAGAGGGUGCUUAUGGGCAAUUGUGUUAACGACCCAAGCCAUUCAGAUGUUCCACAAGUCAGCCAGUCAUAGCCGCGAAAUCACCCAGAGCCAAGUCAAAAGCCUUUGGACCCAUCAGCCUCAGAGGACGGACCGUCCUCAUAGGUCCCCCACCUCUGCUGAAGGGAAAAGAUGCUGAAAGCUGCAUCUCAACAGGAAGUGAGCUGACCAUGACAAGGGACUGAUGUCAAUAUCCCCCACUUUCAGGUCACCCUCAGGCAGCUUCAGCUUAGAAAACUGGACAUUUUUGCCUCUGGUACUUUUUACGAUGCAGGCAGAAAACUAAAGAGAAAGAAUGACAAAGCUGCAGAACGCAUUUCAGCGGCCAGGAACAACUCCACACGCCUGGAAUACAAUGCUCUGUAAUGCACAGCUUCCCCACUCCAGUCUUUAGUUAACAGGUUGAUGACUUGUAGCAGUCUACCUUGAUGUAAGGAUGACAAGGUAAUGUUUUGUGACAUCAUUCUGUGGCCUGAUCACUGCACUGCCUGCAGAGUAAAACAUGCAGUGGAAACAACUAGAACCUCAGAACAGGGGCAAGCGUAACAAACUGCCAUCUUCAGUCAGCAAAUAUUGGAGAAUCUGUCUAUUUUUAUUUCUCUCUGUUUCUCAUUUUUUGCUGUCUUAAAUUCAGUUAUCCAUAUUUCCGGUGAGGGAACUGGGUACGUUUAGCCUGUUGAAGAGGAGAUGUGAUUUGGAUAGCCAAAUAACUGAAGGCACUUGGAGCUUUGCUCAGGAGGGGAGGACCCAGACCCAUGGAUUCAAAUCAAUAUGUAAAAGAGACUCUGACUAAGCAUUAGGAAGAACUUUCUGAUGGUAAGAGCUGUUCAACAGUGGAAUGGACUCUUUCAGAAGGUGGUUGACUCUCCUUCCUUGGAGCUUUUUAAGCAGAGGUUGGAUGGCCAUCCAUCAGGGAUUAUUUAGCCGUGAUUCCUGUAUUGCAGGGUUUGGACUAGAUGACCCUGGGUGAACCUUCCAACUCUACUGUUCUAUGAUUCUAUUAUUUCCACAUCAGUUUUAACUUUUCCCCAUGAAAAUUAAUCAGUGUUUUCCUGUGAAUUUCUCCAAAUAAUCUGUUUCAGUUUGCCUAAUCUUUCAGAAAGUGCAGUUAGGUAGAUUCACCAUUCAAACUGAACCGAAUUUCUCCCCCAUUUCUAUGGCUGGUAUGAAGGAUUUGCCCAACAACCCAUAAAAUAAACCAGACAGAGAGAGUCUUGGUCUUGACCUAUGCACUGCAGUCUCCCAGGUCUCUUCCUACUAUAUCCCAGGUGGGAGAGUACUUGGGCGACUGAGGGGUUUGCUUUUGGGGCUUUCAGCUUUCUGGAUCUUUGGCAAUUUCUUCCUGAAGCCCAAGAGGCAUUUAAUGGAGAAGACAUCUUGCAGCUCAGCUGUGCAUCCCUCAUUCUCCUUGCAAUUGGCAGCUGGCUCCUGCUUUGCCAGGAGACAUGGAAAAGGCAGGGCUGAUUUCUUACCCCCAGGCUGCACUUGGGUUUCUUUUCACUUGCUUUACCUGCUCUAUGUGAGACACCAAAUUCUUCUGGGUGGUUCCCUCCCCCCACCAGGCCUCAUACUAGAGGGGGCUUCCAAGGAGCAUCUUGGAUUUGGGAAUCACAGGCAUAUCUCUUGCCUAUCACUGAGGAUGCUAAUACAUUCUGCCAAGCAAGCGCCACAUUGUAUUCUGCUGUCAGGGGGCACGGAAGGUGAGGAGAAUAGCGCUAGGGGCCCAAAUCCUGUUCCCUUCUGACUGCUGUCGCAGCCCUAAGCUAUGAUCAGAUGGCAGAUGGAGAUGGUUCCUUGGGGGGAGAGAAGGGAGAAAUGUGUCUUCCUCUCCAUGCUUUCCCCAGAAGUCAACACAAGGGUUUUGCCUGGCUGUUCCAUGAGUCGCUGAAGAUUUACCAAGUUGACAGGCCAUUGCCUUGAGCGCAAGUUCUCUGAGGCAGGCUGAAGCCACAGCAUGUCUGAUGAGGUUGCUCCCUGACAAACGGCAAGGCCUGUAGAGUCACCGAGCUAAUUUGCUUCUGUCUUCAUGGGACAAGAGAAUCCACAUCUUCCUGCAAAAGGGCAGCUGUUUGACAAAAGUUACAAAAAUGAAAUGCGUUCAGUUCUACAGGUCAUCAAGGUGGCAUCGAAACCCCACUUAGCCACAGUUAUUUUUACUUAUAUACCCCCCUUCAUCAUAUGAUAGAUAGGUAGAGCAAUCUUUCUGAACAAGGGAGUCACUCCAUCUCCCUGAUCCAUUUGGCUGCCCUUUACUGAACCUUCUCCAGCUCUACAAAACCCUUUUUAAGGUGAGGUCCCCAGAAUUGUACACAACAUUCCAAAUGUGGCUGCACCAUAGAUCUGUGAUAUGUGAUAUAUUUUUCUAAACCUGUUAUACUUUUUUUUUGUUAGUUGCCUUGAGGGUUUUGAAAAGAUGAGAUAUAAAAAAUUAAAAUGAAAUAAAAUAAAAGGAGCUAGCAGGGAUCAAACUUGGAAGCUUCUGCAUGCAAAAGCUGAGCUGCAAUUAAAAAACCUGUACUAUUGAUAGUGUAUGCCAAGUCAGAAAGGCAGGAAAAAACACGACCCCUUUUAAAUUUCCAAAUAUUUAGCUUACCUAAGCCAAGAUGUUCAGGGUUUUUAAAAUACCUCUAAUUUAGGAUAUUAGAGUACUGUAUUAUUUUCUCUUGCGCAGCCAAGCAAUUAAAUCUUGGACGCACUUCAGUUUCUGGACCUGAACUCGACUUCUGGUGCAGCAGGACGAAAGAGGAAGCAGGAGAAGGGCGGAGCUUCAGCUUUGUAUGCAGAAGGGCCCAGGUUCAGUCCUUAAUGUUGAUGGCACAAGGGGCAAUGGCCUGGUGGAGAAAGCAUACUGGCAGCUGGGGAGCCACCACUAAAAAGGCCUGUUCUUUGUGUCGUCACCCUCCACACCUCCCUCGGAUGCCACACAUGAAAAGGGGGCUCAGGCAAUGAAUGCAGGGUCCCAGUAGGGCCAUGUGUAGAGGCCACUUCAAUGUUAACAUGGCUGUUGAUAAAAAUUAACCAGUGGUGUCACCUUUCCUACAUUCUGACCUGCAGAAGUAAAUAGGUCUUUAAUUGCUUCCAGAACAAGAGCCGCGUGAGAGACAGCCUGCAAGGAGUUCCAGAGCUGAGCAUUCUGUGUGUUACAAGUACAGGAGGAGGAUAUGGACCAAACCGCAUAUUUUUAGGGCCAUGCAGUUCUGCUCCAACACAUUGUUCCAGAAAGACAGGAUUGACCCCGUGCUCUGGAGGAGAUGAAAGAAGCCCCCUCCUCCCCCUGACCCACAACUCUAACAUCUGUCCAACUGAGCCAGCCUCAACAUGCCGGGAAUGGGCUGGGCUCCAGUGCACCCUAAGCAGAAUCUCCUGCCAAAUCAGAUGCAGGCCGAAAUCCAACCCAGAGGACCUCACCGGCGCCAAGAGCAGCUGCCCAUCGCAUAGGCAGGAUUUGCAACAGAGGACUCUGCAUUUCAGCAUGUUUGGCAGAUAUUCCUCCAGCUAUUUUGAGAUUAAUAGUGCCAUUAGUUUGCAAAGAAAACUUUCCACAGGUGGUUUUGUGUUUGUAAGGGUGAGGCUGUGAAGCUGCUGCUUCUCCUUUGCUUCUCCUUCUCUUUCCUACCUUUUUAGGGAAUAAGGUGAGGAGGGCUAUUUUGAUAUUUGUGUUUCUCCCUGGAGUUUGGCAUCCUACUUUAUAGGAAGUAGGAUGAUUGGCUUGUGAAUGAGAGCCACCACAGUGUAACAGUGGGACUCUGCAAGCCUAGGAACGAGGUCUGAGGAGAACUCGGGUUCAAACUCAGCCAUGAAGCUCACUGGGUGACUCGCCACCUCUCAGGGUCACCGAUCUCACUCCAUGCUGAAGUGGCUGCUUGGAGAAAAGGCAGCAUGUAAAUGUUAUAAAAAUGAUUGAUAAAUUUG
rnacentral:lncRNA from 1 species